AGCUUUGCGCAGUGGCAGUAUCGUAGCCAAUGAGGUUUAUCCGAGGCGCAAUUAUUGCUAAAAGAUAUUUAAUAUGUAUAAGGGAAAGUUCCAUUUGUAGGGUGUCUCCCUCUUUGUACCAGAAAGAGGUAUUU